rnacentral:rRNA from 1 species
AGAACGAACGCUGGCGGCAUGCCUAAUACAUGCAAGUCGAACGAACUCUUCGGAGUUAGUGGCGCACGGGUGCGUAACGCGUGGGAAUCUGCCCCUUGGUUCGGAAUAACAGUUGGAAACGACUGCUAAUACCGGAUGAUGACGAAAGUCCAAAGAUUUAUCGCCAAGGGAUGAGCCCGCGUAGGAUUAGCUAGUUGGUGAGGUAAAGGCUCACCAAGGCAACGAUCCUUAGCUGGUCUGAGAGGAUGAUCAGCCACACUGGGACUGAGACACGGCCCAGACUCCUACGGGAGGCAGCAGUAGGGAAUAUGGACAAUGGCGAAAGCCUGAUCCAGCAAUGCCGCGUGAGUGAUGAAGCCGUUAGGUUGUAAAGCUCUUUACCCGAGAUGGUAAUGACAGUAUACGGAGAAGUAACGCCCCGGACUAACUCCGUGACCAGCCAGCCGAC